rnacentral:rRNA from 1 species
CGGGAACUGGGGAUAAUACCGGAUAACGCAUAUAUGCUGGAAUGCUUUAUGCGUAAAAUGGAUUCGUCUGCCCAAGGAUGGGUCUGCGGCCUAUCAGGUAGUAGUGGGUGUAAUGUACCUACUAGCCUACAACGGGUACGGGUUGUGAGAGCAAGAGCCCGGAGAUGGAUUCUGAGACAUGAAUCCAGGCCCUACGGGGCGCAGCAGGCGCGAAAACUUUACAAUGCGGGAAACCGUGAUAAGGGGACACCGAGUGCCAGCAUCAUAUGCUGGCUGUCCAGAUGUGUAAAAUACAUCUGUUAGCAAGGGCCGGGCAAGACCGGUGCCAGCCGCCGCGGUAACACCGGCGGCCCGAGUGGUGAUCGUGAUUAUUGGGUCUAAAGGGUCCGUAGCCGGUUUGGUCAGUCCUCCGGGAAAUCUGAUGGCUCAACCAUUAGGCUUUCGGGGGAUACUGCCAGGCUUGGAACCGGGAGAGGUAAGAGGUACUACAGGGGUAGGAGUGAAAUCUUGUAAUCCCUGUGAGACCACCUGUGGCGAAGGCGUCUUACCAGAACGGGUUCGACGGUGAGGGACGAAAGCUGGGGGCACGAACCGGAUUAGAUACCCGGGUAGUCCCAGCCGUAAACGAUGCUCGCUAGGUGUCAGGCAUGGCGCGACCGUGUCUGGUGCCGCAGGGAAGCCGUGAAGCGAGCCACCUGGGAAGUACGGCCGCAAGGCUGAAACUUAAAGGAAUUGGCGGGGGAGCACAACAACGGGUGGAGCCUGCGGUUUAAUUGGACUCAACGCCGGACAACUCACCGGGGACGACAGCAAUAUGUAGGCCAGGCUGAAGACCUUGC